rnacentral:rRNA from 1 species
AUUGAACGCUGGCGGCAGGCCUAACACAUGCAAGUCGAACGGUAACAGGAAACAGCUUGCUGUUUCGCUGACGAGUGGCGGACGGGUGAGUAAUGUCUGGGAAACUGCCUGAUGGAGGGGGAUAACUACUGGAAACGGUAGCUAAUACCGCAUAACGUCGCAAGACCAAAGAGGGGGACCUUCGGGCCUCUUGCCAUCGGAUGUGCCCAGAUGGGAUUAGCUAGUAGGUGGGGUAACGGCUCACCUAGGCGACGAUCCCUAGCUGGUCUGAGGGGAUGACCAGCCACACUGGAACUGAGACACGGUCCAGACUCCUACGGGAGUCAGCAGUGGGGAAUAUUGCACAAUGGGCGCAAGCCUGAUGCAGCCAUGCCGCGUGUAUGAAGAAGGCCUUCGGGUUGUAAAGUACUUUCAGCGGGGAGGAAGGGAGUAAAGUUAAUACCUUUGCUCAUUGACGUUACCCGCAGAAGAAGCACCGGCUAACUCCGUGCCAGCCGCCGCCGUAA